CGCUGGCGGCGUGCCUAAUACAUGCAAGUCGAACGGUCUUUUCUAUGGAAGCUUGCUUCCACUGAGAAGAUAGUGGCGAACGGGUGAGUAACACGUGGGUAACCUGCCCAUAAGAGGGGGAUAACAUCCGGAAACGGGUGCUAAUACCGCAUAGUUUUUCUUGAUCGCAUGAUCGGGAAAGGAAAGACGGCCUUUGUGCUGUCGCUUUAUGGAUGGACCCGCGGCGUAUUAGUUAGUUGGUGAGGUAACGGCUCACCAAGACGAUGAUACGUAGCCGACCUGAGAGGGUGAUCGGCCACAUUGGGACUGAGACACGGCCCAAACUCCUACGGGAGGCAGCAGUAGGGAAUCUUCCGCAAUGGACGAAAGUCUGACGGAGCAACGCCGCGUGAGUGAAGAAAAGGUUUUCGGAUCGUAAAACUCUGUUGUCAGAGAAGAACAAGUUGGAGAGUAACUGCUCCAGCCUUGACGGUAUCUGACCAGAAAGCCACGGCUAACUACGUGCCAGCCGCAGC
rnacentral:rRNA from 1 species